GAUGAACGCUGGCGGCGUGCCUAAUACAUGCAAGUCGAGCGAACGGACGAGAAGCUUGCUUCUGUGAUGUUAGCGGCGGACGGGUGAUUAACCCGUGGAUAACCUACCUAUAAGACUGGGAUAACUUCGGGAAACCGGAGCUAAUACCGGAUAAUAUUUUGAACCGCAUGGUUCAAAAGUGAAAGCCGGUCUUGCUGUCCCUUAUAGAUGGAUCCGCGCUGCAUUAGCUAGUUGGUAAGGUAACGGCUUACCAAGGCAACGAUGCAUAGCCGACCUGAGAGGGUGAUCGGCCACACUGGAACUGAGACACGGUCCAGACUCCUACGGGAGGCAGCAGUGGGGAAUCUUCCGCAAAGGGCGAAAGCCUGACGGAGCAACGCCGCGUGAGUGAUGAAGGUCUUCGGAUCGUAAAACUCUGUUAUUAGGGAAGAACAUAUGUGUAAGUAACUGUGCACAUCUUGACGGUACCUAAUCAGAAAGCCACGGCUAACUACGUG
rnacentral:rRNA from 1 species